rnacentral:lncRNA from 1 species
UUCGCUUUGGGAUUCUUAGGGUUUUUUUCCUUUCUAUCAUUCUUUUUCAGCAAGAAACCGUUUCUUCUACAUCAAACCCUAGCUCUUGUUAACGUAUCUUCUAGAUCAGAUCGAUAAUGGUAAUUGCUAUUGAUCUUGAAUCCCAAAAAUCAUCUAUUGAGACUCCUUCAUCCCUCAAACCCUAGCUGUUGUUAACGUAUCUUCUACAUCAGAUCGACAAUGGUAAUUGCUGACGUGAAACACCAUCUUCAAGAUCUAUGGUUUUGCGUUGGUCUGAGUCAACAACGAUGGUACCUGGAAGGAUGAAAAUGUUGUUCUCAUUUUAGGGUUUUCAAUUCUUCACUCCAAUGGAUUUUACUAAUCAUGUUUAUCUAAUGAAGAUCCCUUGAAGAAUAAAUCUUCUAAAGUUGCCAAUGCAUCAAUUCUUGCAUCGUCAUUGGUGUGAACUUUUCAAGUUUUUAGUUGCUUGAAUCAAUGCUUGAUGAUGAUGAUGAUGAUGAUGAUGUGGUAAAUAUUGAAAUGGAGUUAUACAUGGUGUCAAAAUGUGUAAAUUGCAAAGUCCCUUGAUGUGGGAAAUUGUAUCUCGAUGCAAAACAGUGGCAUACAAACUCUCCAAGAGAAAGACUGUUGACACCUUGCAGUCUCUACUUUCUACACAUUAUUCUUUUCAGCAAAAGUGCAAUGAUGAUCAUGGUGAACAAGAGUAUCAGCAUGUUUUCUGGAUUUGUCCGGUCUAACGACGAGUAGGAAAAGCAAAAGUUAGAGACGAAAGACAAGCUUGACAAAUUCACUAAAUAAAAGUUGGAGUUUUUUGAUAUUUUAAAUCCUCAAAUUCACUAAAUUUUUGUUUAUAUAUUUUCAGGAAGAAGUUUUGUUAAAAUUAUCAUAGUUUCUAGAAUCUCCACUUGCUACAAUUGAAGUCCUGCUUGCUGAAAAAGAACAGGUUUGUUUACACCUUAAAAUGGUUAUAUCGGUAUUUGGUUUGAACUGGUCGGGUGAAUCUGGUAAUUUGGUUAUUUUAGUUCAAUGUUUGGGCAGAUUGGAUCACCGAUGAUAGCACAGAUGUUGGCGGCUAAUCUCAUUUUGAAUCGAAGCGUGUAAUUAAUUAGGGUUUGGAGGCUAAUCUUUUUUUUUAUCAGAAAGUUAGGGCUUGAAGAGCAUCCAACAAUGCCUUCGGUGCUUUCGCUCGAAUUUUUUAUUAUUCCUCCUUUGGCUACCUCUUCUUAUAUCGGUCGUUCGUAUUCUCAUUGUCUUAAACGUCAUCGUUGUGGUAAUCUUAUUAGUUAACAAUUGCUUUAUUUUUUGUUGUCAAAUUAGUAUCUGUUUCUGCAUUUGUUGACCUUUUUCUUCAUCAUCGUCAUCGGUUUACUGUUUUUGAGGCGGUCAAUUAGUUGUAUCAAGAGACACGAGAUUGUUUGGAUUGGUUUCGGUUUCUGCGUGGUUGAAGUUUGGUCAAACCUAGAUCUGAUCUUGCUAAAAAGGUCCUAGAUUGAUUGUACAUUUGUACAUAAGAAGCUACAACAACCACAAAACAUCAGGUUCUUGAAGAUGAAAGAGCAUGAAUAUAUGUAGAGGUGCUACAUCAAGUAGUGUUUUUACUUUUAUUAAGUCAAGGGAAGAGGAAUUGAUCAAAGUAUUUUUGUCAUAAGGUUUGAGAUGCCAUAUAGUAUCUGGUGUGGUGGUUACAACUAUAUAAAUUUCAAAAGGCGAGAGGUUCAUGCAAAAGCUACUAUUUUUUGUUUCACUGAUUGAGGGGCAAACGUUGCAAUGUCUAAAUUCGAUGCUGAAGACUGGCUGCGUUUUGAGGCAUGGAACAAAGAGUCUGAGAUAAACAACCCUACCAACAUUGAGAAAUUGCUGAGAUUCAGGGUGUUUCAAUAAUAUCUCCAUGAAUUAGGCCUCUAACAGAAGAGGAUCCCAUACGAUCAAAUUCGUUGGGUGUGAACGUACUCACGGACCGCACUGAUGAGGAGAUGGAGAAGGACUUCAGUGGAUACGAAGGUGAAACCGAGGAAGACGAUGACGAGGUCGAGGAAAUGGACGAGGACCGUGUUGAUGAGAUGUCUGUCAUAUGCCAAAAAAGAGGUUGUAAGUUUUUAACCACGAUUAUCAUUUAAGUACAAAUAACAUCUUUGAUUACAAGAUUUAGCAAUGAUAUGUAAAUAAUAAAUGUUAGGUGAUGAAAGUAAUUGUUGAUGGUACCAUCAUCAUCUUACGCAAGUAUCUGUUGUUGUGUACAAUAAAUGUAAUCAUAUAGUUAUUUAUUUGUUUUUUUA